rnacentral:rRNA from 1 species
AGAGUUUGAUUCAUGGCUCAGAAUGAACGUUGGCGGCGUGGAUUAGGCAUGCAAGUCGAACGGGCCUGGUUUUCGGAUCAGGUCAGUGGCGCAAGGGUGAGUAAGGCGACGGUAACCAACCCCAGGGUUGGGUAUAGCCGCGGGAAACUGCGGGUAAUCCCCAGCGAUGUAAGAUGCCGGCAUCGGUGUCUUAUCAAAACUUUGGCGCCGUGGGACGGGCCGUCGUGGUAUUAGGUAGUUGGCGGGGUAACGGCCCACCAAGCCGAUGAUGCCUACCGGGCGUGCGAGCGUGGCCCGGCACACUGGGACUGAGACACUGCCCAGACUCCUACGGGAGGCUGCAGUCGAGAAUCUUCGGCAAUGGGCGCAAGCCUGACCGAGCGACGCCGCGUGGAGGAUGAAGGCCUUCGGGUUGUAAACUCCUGUCGAGGGGGAGGAAGGGGAAACCUUGACCGAUCCCUGGAGGAAGCACGGGCUAAGUUCGUGCCAGCAGCCGCGGUAAGACGAACCGUGCGAACGUUAUUCGGAAUCACUGGGCUUAAAGCGCGUGUAGGCGGAUGGGAACGUCGGAAACUGAAAGCCCCCGGCUCAACCGGGGAAGUGGUGCCGAAACGACCUGUCUGGAGGGACGUAGGGGGAUCUGGAACUUCCGGUGGAGCGGUGAAAUGCGUUGAGAUCGGAAGGAACGCCCGUGGCGAAAGCGAGGUCCUGGACGUCUGCUGACGCUGAGACGCGAAAGCUAGGGGAGCAAACGGGAUUAGAUACCCCGGUAGUCCUAGCCGUAAACGAUGGGCACUGGGUAGGGGGCUCGCCGAUGGGCUCCCUGCCGUAGCGAAAGCGUGAAGUGCCCCGCCUGGGGAGUAUGGUCGCAAGGCUGAAACUCAAAGGAAUUGACGG